UAAUUCAAAAUCAACUUCUUGUUAUAAGUAAGUAACUUUAUUUAGCCAGGGUAGCCCAUUCAGCUACGAGACUGGUAUUCAUAGGGGC